GGGGACGUAACAAAGCGACCCAGGAAUGCUUGGGCGUGCCUCCACCCACGCCGGCGUCGGCGGGCGUAUUUCGCCUCACAGUAGGUCGCCGCGACCCGUUGCUUUUGGGGACGUCGAAGGCCCGGACGGAUUGGUACCCUACCGGCUGGGGAUGCGGCUUCGGCUUCUCCUCUUGUCCGGUGGGCGAAACCGCCGGUGUCCUGGCUGCCCUGCGACGGUCGUAGAGACGAGCCCUCCCCUUCGGGGGGGCGGCUCUCGCGGCGUGCAAAAGGUCGGUGAUCCACCCGACCCGUCUUGAAACACGGACCAAGGAGUCUAACAUGUGUGCGAGUCAGUGGGCGCACUAAACCCAGAGGCGUAAUGAAAGUGACACGGGUUCGGCUGUCGCCUCGUGUGGCAGCCGGACUCAGGGCCGAUCCCUCACCGGUUGCCCUCGCCUCUCUCCCGCGUCUCGGUAAGCCGGGUGAGCUAUUUUCCCCGGCCGCUGCUGCGGGGCUCGGGGGGAGGCGGGGUGCGAUGGUGUCUGUAAAAAAGAGCCUGCUGUUGCAGGGGGGCGCAGGCCCGGGACUUGCCAGGACGCCGCGAGACUGUCACUUUGCUGUGAGGCUCUCGGGCCGAUCAGCGGGUCAUGCGUGCAGUCGGCAAGUACCAUGAGCAGACAUGUUGGGACCCGAAAGAUGGUGAACUAUGCCUGGCCAGGAUGAAGCCAGAGGAAACUCUGGUGGAGGUCCGUAGCGAUUCUGACGUGCAAAUCGAUCGUCGGAGCUGGGUAUAGGGGCGA
rnacentral:rRNA from 1 species